rnacentral:rRNA from 1 species
AUGGACAGAAGCUGGAUUAGAAAAGGAGUUAGAAAGUUUUUGAAAGAACAUAUGAAAGGAGUUGAUGAUUUCAUUGCAUUUGUUCGGGCAAAUUUUGCCAACGAUGCUCACAUUCUUUGCCCAUGCUGCGAAUGCCUCAACCGUUCAAGAAUGGCUCAAGGAAGAGUGGAAGAUCAUCUACUUCUUAAUGGGAUGUCCAGCACCUAUGAUAGGUGGAUAUAUCAUGGAGAACCUUUAGACAGACAACCUCAACAUUUUGAAGCUGAUACAGAGGCCCCUCAUAUGAUGGGUGGUGGUGAUGCUGGCAUUGAUUUCAUGGAAAAGGUUUUGCGAGAUAAUGCUGGUUUGGAGGAAGAGGAUGGGCAUGAAGAUGAUAUGUUUCCUGACCUAUUGAAGGAUUUGUACGAUGCUGAAGAUCGUGCUGAUGGACAGAAGUCAUUGUUUGCUGAGGUGUUAGAGGAGGCGAAGCGCGUAGCUCAUGAAGGGGGUAAAUUUUCAAGAUUUACCUUCACUGUGUAG